GACGAACGCUGGCGGCGUGCUUAACACAUGCAAGUCGAACGGAAAGGCCCUGCUUUUGUGGGGUGCUCGAGUGGCGAACGGGUGAGUAACACGUGAGUAACCUGCCCUUGACUUUGGGAUAACUUCAGGAAACUGGGGCUAAUACCGGAUAGGAGCUCCUGCUGCAUGGUGGGGGUUGGAAAGUUUCGGCGGUUGGGGAUGGACUCGCGGCUUAUCAGCUUGUUGGGGGGGUAGUGGCUUACCAAGGCUUUGACGGGUAGCCGGCCUGAGAGGGUGACCGGCCACAUGGGGACUGAGAGACGGCCCAGACUCCUACGGGAGGCAGCAGUGGGGAAUAUUGCACAAUGGGCGGAAGCCUGAUGCAGCAACGCCGCGUGCGGGAUGACGGCCUUCGGGUUGUAAACCGCUUUCGCCUGUGACGAAGCGUGAGUGACGGUAAUGGGUAAAGAAGCACCGGCUAACUACGUG
rnacentral:rRNA from 1 species